rnacentral:rRNA from 1 species
UAACGAAUAUUCCGCAAUGGACGAAAGUCUGACGGAGCAAUGCCGCGUGCAGGAUGAAGCGGUUUCGCCGUGUAAACUGCUGUCAGGGGCAGGAAAAACUGAUCCGCCCCAAAGGAAGAGACGGCUAACCCUGUGCCAGCAGCCGCGGUAAUACAGGGGUCUCGAGCGUUAAUCGGAAUCACUGGGCUUAAAGGGUGCGUAGGCGGAUCCGUAAGCGCUUUGUGAAAUCCCCCGGCUCAACCGGGGAACUGCAGGGCGAACUGCGGAUCUUGAGGAAACUAGAGGCCGGUAGAACGAUUGGUGGAGCGGUGGAAUGCGUAGAUAUCAAUCGGAAUGCCAAAAGUGAAGACAGCCGGCUGGGGUUUUCCUGACGCUGAGGCACGAAAGCGUGGGGAGCAAACCGGAUUAGAUACCCUUGUAGUCCCUGAGCGGGCUGGCAAGGCGCAU